CACGUAGGGGGCAAGCGUUGUCCGGAUUUAUUGGGCGUAAAGAGCUCGUAGGUGGUUCGAUAAGUCGAGUGUGAAAACUCCAGGCUCAACCUGGAGACGCCACCCGAUACUGUCGUGACUAGAGUCCAGUAGGGGAGCGUGGAAUUCCUGGUGUAGCGGUGAAAUGCGCAGAUAUCAGGAGGAACACCAGUGGCGAAGGCGGCGCUCUGGGCUGGCACUGACACUGAGGAGCGAAAGCGUGGGGAGCAAACAGG
rnacentral:rRNA from 1 species